rnacentral:lncRNA from 1 species
AUGCUCUUACCUCUGCAAGUCUGGACCAGGUGCCCCGGCAAAGAGGUUGGCCAGCUGAGUAGAGCUGAGAAUUUAAAGAAUCUAAAGUCAUGUGGCCCCAGGACAUCUGCACAGUCUAAAAUACGAUCAUCUGAAUCUUCGUAAUAAAGACUUCAUAUUCAGAGACGCUUAGAACCUCUGUUGAACUCGAAGAGUAUUUUUCCAACGUCUGUCAGGAGCUGAGGUCAGCCAUAGCUGGUAAACAAACAUAUGCUUUAAGAGAGCACUCUUUACUAUUCUUUACACAUUGAUCAGAGAUGUCACAAAUGUACAAUUAUUCAGAUACAUGAAGACAAAUGAUUUCCCUGGGUGCUGGUAACCUGACGAGAAGGCGACAUUUUUC